rnacentral:rRNA from 1 species
UACGUAGGGCGCGAGCGUUGUCCGGAAUUAUUGGGCGUAAAGAGCUCGUAGGCGGCCUGUCGCGUCCGCUGUGAAAUCCCGGGGCUUAACCCCGGGCCUCGCAGUGGAUACGGGCAGGCUGGAGGCAGGCAGGGGAGAACGGAAUUCCCGGUGUAGCGGUGAAAUGCGUAGAUAUUGGGAGGAACACCAGUGGCGAAGGCGGCUCACUGGACCGGAACUGACGCUGAGGCGCGAAAGCGUGGGGAGCAAACGGGAUUAAGA